CCACACAAAAAGAACACGUUCUCUCUCAUCUUUCACCUUCACCUCCCUUAUCUAAAAACCCUAGCCGUCCUCACCACCUUCACCACGACCAACACCAACAUAAUGACCAACACUCCCACCAAAUUUAUUGUCACCGGUCACCACUACUACUUGUCAUCACCACGUUUUUGUAACUCAUCCUCACAAAAACACAAACCCAAUAUAUAUUUCACAAAUCAAAAAAUAGAAAUCAUUCAUCAUCUUGACAGUCUAUUAUUCAUGGCUUGUUUCUAGUUGUUUGUAAGCUCUUCAACUAACUUCAAAAUGCUGCAUAGAGUAUGUUUAUUUGUGGAGUUUGAUUCGUCUUCAGUCAACUUCAAGAUGCUGCAUAGAGGUUGCUAAUUAGGUGGUGUUUUUCUCUUUCAAGCAGAGACUAGAAGAAUCGUCGGUCAUGCCAACCUUUAGAAAUUGCUCUAGUAUGAAUUUCUUUAUCUCACAAUUUAUUUGCUCAUUCUAGGAAACUAGAAAAUAGUUAAAUUAUGUGAUGGUUGUUAAAAUGUACUGGUUCAAUAUCUAACUAGAGUUUUAAGUUAUGUGAGUAGGAAUUUUUCAAAUAUUGAUAUCUAUCUACUAUGAUGCAAAACUAUGUAGUCUGUUUUCCACACAUGCACUCAUAUUAUUGAAAUGGAAUGUAUGAUAAGAAAGAUGUUAUGUACCAACUUAAGUAAAUAUUCUCCUAAAAAAUAAAAACAUUUUGUGAAGUCUAUGGUUAGCUUAGUUUUGAGGAAUGUCAAACUGCUAUUCCUAAUUUCUAUGAUUAUGGAAAUCUUCUUGUCUUUUUUGUGUGUAUUAUCAUGUAGCUGAGAAUUGUGCAUUAUCUUUCAGAACAAGUGGUUCCUCCUCCUCUACAGCAUUGCAGUGCCAUUGCCAUUUUACCAUUCAAUAGAGUUUACUAAAACAAAUUUAUCCAAUCAAAGAAAUGGAGUUUACUAAAAUGAUUGGUCAGUCAUGGAAUUGUCUCAGUCCUUAAGAAAGAAUGAUUGAUGUAGAAUAGCCAUUAAUGCAAAGGGAUGAAGAUCAGCAAAGUUGAUGACGAUCAAUAAUUAUCUUAAAUUGAUGGAGAGUUUAAAUGUUUAAUUAUCAAUUUUCAAUGUUAUAUUUUUUUAUCUAGGUUUUUAAUUUGUAUUAGCAAUUUAAUAUCAUUAAAGUAAUUGAUAAUUAAUAGGAUUUUCUAUCAUACUGGAGGCUCUGUAUUUAACUAAUAAGUUAAUAUGCAUUAAAUCAUUUUAAAUA